GGCAAGAUGGCCGAGUUGGUUAUGGCGCCAGGUUAAGGUUAUCUUAACACGCAUCCUGGUUCGGGAAACCGAGCGUGGGUUCAAGUCCCACUCUUGUCA
rfam:Tuber melanosporum whole genome shotgun sequence assembly, scaffold_153, strain Mel28